rnacentral:rRNA from 1 species
UACGAAGGGGGCUAGCGUUGCUCGGAAUGACUGGGCGUAAAGGGCGCGUAGGCGGUCUGUCACGUCGGCUGUGAAAACCCGAGGCUCAACCUCGGGCCUGCAGUCGAUACGGGCAGACUAGAGUUCGGCAGGGGAGACUGGAAUUCCUGGUGUAGCGGUGAAAUGCGCAGAUAUCAGGAGGAACACCGGUGGCGAAGGCGGGUCUCUGGGCCGACACUGACGCUGAGGAGCGAAAGCGUGGGGAGCGAACAGG